ensembl:misc_RNA Metazoa_SRP Metazoan signal recognition particle RNA
GCCAGGUGCAGUGGCACGUGCCUGUAGUCCCAGCUACUCGGGAGGCUGAGGUGGGAGGAUCGCUCGAGCCCAGGAGUUCUGGGCUAUAGUGCGCUAUGCCGAUCUGGUGUCCACACUAAGUUCAGUAUCAAUAUGGUGACCUCCUGGGAGCGGGGGACCACCAGGUUGCCUAAGGAUGGGUGAACCAGACCAGGUGGGAAACGAAGCAGGUCAAAGCUCCCGUGCUGAUCAGUAGUGGGAUCACGCCUGUGAAUAGCCACUGCACUCCAGCCUGGGCAACAUAGCGAGACCCUGUCUCUU